GAUGAACGCUGGCGGCGUGCCUAAUACAUGCAAGUCGAGCGAACAGACGAGGAGCUUGCUCCUCUGACGUUAGCGGCGGACGGGUGAGUAACACGUGGAUAACCUACCUAUAAGACGGGGAUAACUUCGGGAAACCGGAGCUAAUACCGGAUAAUAUAUUGAACCGCAUGGUUCAAUAGUGAAAAACGGUUUUGCUGUCACUUAUAGAUGGAUCCGCGCCGCAUUAGCUAGUUGGUAAGGUAACGGCUUACCAAGGCGACGAUGCGUAGCCGACCUGAGAGGGUGAUCGGCCACACUGGAACUGAGACACGGUCCAGACUCCUACGGGAGGCAGCAGUAGGGAAUCUUCCGCAAUGGGCGAAAGCCUGACGGAGCAACGCCGCGUGAGUGAUGAAGGUCUUCGGAUCGUAAAACUCUGUUAUUAGGGAAGAACAAAUGUGUAAGUAACUAUGCACGUCUUGACGGUACCUAAUCAGAAAGCCACGGCUAACUACGUG
rnacentral:rRNA from 1 species